CCUACGGGAGGCAGCAGUGGGGAAUUUUGGACAAUGGGCGAAAGCCUGAUCCAGCUAUUCCGCGUGUGGGAUGAAGGCCCUCGGGUUGUAAACCACUUUUGUUGAGGACGAAAAGACAACUUCGAAUAACGCAUGUGGCUGACGGGACUACAAGAAUACGCACCGGCGAACUACGUGCCAGCAGCCGCGGUAUUACGUAGGGUGGGGGCGUUAAUCGGAAGUACUGGGGGUAAUGGGUGCGUAGGAGGGUGAGUAAGACAGAUGUGAAAGACCCGAGCGUAACUCGGGAAUGGCAUAGGUGACUGCGCGACUAGAGUGUGUGAGAGGGAGGUGGAAUUCCAGGUGUAGCAGUGAAAUGCGUAGAUAUGGGGAAGAACA
rnacentral:rRNA from 1 species